AAGCCUUCAGGCUCAGAAGACGCAGAUCUUCGACACAGGAUAAGUGAGCCUUCUCCUCGACUCAGGAUAGUCAAGCCUUCUCUCCCUCGGUGUCAUGAGAGCACUGACCUUCCUGCUUGUGGUGGCCGUGGCUCUGACGGUGAUAGUGGUGGUACAGGCCAUGCCCGGUCCCUUCCCCAAAGCAGCACCGGAGGCAGAAGCCAAUCCGGAGCCGUCCUUCGGUUGGGGAGGAUGGUACCACCGCCCUUAUUUCUACCCCCCCUACCCCUACUAUGGUUAUGGGUACUACUGGGGCUGAAGUGCAGUGACAAACAAGCAGAGGAAAGCGGUGAGCCCAUAACUUUCCGAAGGGGUUCACACAUUGUAGCACAGUGGCCGCGGGAUGAUCCAUCACCUUCGAUUUCAGUCACCAUCAUCAUCACCGUUUCUCUCGCUGGUGCUGUCGGUAUCUCUUUAUGCAGUCUCUUAUAUGUUAAAAGGUCUAAGAACAAGACAAUAUGUACGUGUAUUCGUAUGUGGUGAAGUCUCGAAAUAUUUGAUAAUUGUCAUUUUGUCCUUUACAGGCAUUUCCUUGUCUCCACAACAAUAAACUAGGAAGUAGU